rnacentral:tRNA from 1 species
GAGGGUAUCGCUCAGUGGUAGAGUGAAUUCCUAGCAUGCAUGAGGUCCUGGGUUCGAUCCCCAGUACCUCCA